ACAUACGACCAUAGGGUGUGGAGAACAGGACUUCCCGUCCGCUCAGCCGUACUUAAGCCACACGCCGGCAGGUUAGUAGUUGGGUGGGUGACCACCAGCGAAUCCCUGCUGUUGUAUGUU
rfam:Penicillium decumbens strain IBT 11843 PENDEC_contig039, whole genome shotgun sequence.